UAGGCCCAAAGCCUGCACCCGUAGGCCCAGUAGCUGGGCCCCACAGGGCCUACAGCUGAUCAAUCCAAAAGGCAGGCUUGGAGCUGUCAGGGAUUCCUCUUCUUCAGAAGAGGAGCAGAAAAGUGUUCAUGAAUCUGAAGAGGGCUCUGCAGAAGAUACUUCAGCUGUAUUUCAUAAAAAGGAAAAUCUGCCUGUUUAGCAAGCCUUGCAGAUGCUGAUUUGUUAUCGGAAAAGAACAAUCAGAGCACCCUCAACAGAUGGCCAUCCAGCCUCAGCUUAAAACCCUCCAAGGAAGGAGCUUCCAUCACACUCCAAGGCAGAGAGUUCCACUGUUGAACAGCUCUUCUUACAGUCAGGAAGUUAUUCCUCCUGACUGGAAUCUCCUUUCCUGUCCUAAUCUCCAAGGCAGCAGAAAAUAAAGGUAAGUAAAACAGCAAUAAUCCACAAAAGGAGUGAGGUUGUCCCUCAUUAAGUUACAAUGAUAAUGUAACUUACAUUUGCUUUGAAUUAUUUGUAGCAAGUGUCUUCCAAGGUUCUAUAAGUCUGUAGAAUUAUAUAAUUUCAAUACAAUUAUUAAUAUUUAAAUGUUACCAUACUUACUUUAGAAAUUAAUUCCAGCCACAUGUACCAGAAACUAUUUUCCAUGGUAACAUUAAUAAUAGCCAAAUAUAUUUCCCAAUGAGUGCUCCAAAAUGACUAUUUCAACUGAAAUAUUAAAUGAACUGGACAGUGAAAUUACACAUAAUAGUUUACUACACGAGCUGCCUGUUAGCAGAUGUGAGAUUCAAUUUGGAGGAAAGUAUGAUGGAAUCUCAGAGCAUAGACCUCACUUUUGUAUCAGGAAUUUGUGACCAGGGAGGCAUCUGGACGGUGUAUGGGAGGAAACACCCACGAUGAGGGAUUAUGACACAGGAUAAAAUCAUGGUGUGAUUUUUCAGACUGGAAGUGGCAGACAUGUGAAUUGUUCUUUCCACAUGCAGCUAGAAUCAUUAUAAUGUCCUGACUGCCUUGUUUAUAUGAUCCCAGGCCAAGUCUGACUGAAACCAAGAUAAAACCUUUUUUUAAAAAAACUCACUCAUUUACUCAUUGAAGACUAGAAAUAAGAUUUUUUUUCCCACUAUGAUAUAGAAAAGGGCUCAUUUCUCAGUUUGUAAGAACUGGUGUUUUUGAAAGUUUUAGACUCAUACUUAUCAACCAGUUGUGUCCCUGUUGUGUAUAUAGCUUCUUUGGAUCAUGACUAACAUGUGUUAUAAACCUUAACCUCUUAAAAAAUGACCAGAAUCCUGGACUGAAGUUGUGUUUCUGUAGGUGGAUUUAUGUCUUGGAAUUAGAAUGGGGCAGUUUCAUAAUGUACAAUGUGACAGCUUUGCAAUGACACCAAUCCGUAUCAGAAUCAAUGAGAAUUGGACAUUGAUACACAUCAAGCAACAAUGCACAUUGGGCGUUGUUGCUGCAGUUCAUCAAAAGGGUUUCUUAAUGUACAGUCAUUCCCCAAGUUAUAAACAAGAUAGGUUCUGUAGGUUUAUUUAUAAGUGAAAUGUAUAUGUAAAUCAGAACAUUAUAUUGUUAAGUAUAACUUCAGACAAAUAUAUAUGGGAGAAAGGACAUCAAUGUGUGCUGCCCCGUCACCCUUUUCCCCGGGGCUAGAUUGGUGUUUGCCGUCAAAUCUAGCCUCAUAUGAUGAGGCCGUAAAUGCGAUUAAAUGGACAAAUUCUGGUUGAAGCUGACCAUAAAGUCAUUCUACAGAACCUAGAUAUUCCUAGAGUGUUAAUGUCUCAAGUAAAAAAAAAAUGUAAUUUCUUCAUCCCCAUUUUUCACUUUCAUUGGGAUUCUGUGCCCCCAGCCCCAACAAAUGGAGAGGGUUGGCUGUGUUUCUAGUCAGCACUUCAGUAACUUCCAAUCUGAAUGGUUUAUUAAAUUGUAUGUGUCCAUUUAUCUUCAUAGGGUGCCCAUUUGAAGGUAUAGUGUUCCCUCACUUAUCAUGGGGGUUACGUUCCAGGCCCACCCGCAAUAAGUGAAAAUCCAUGAAGUAGGGACACUAUAUUUAUUUUAAUAUUUAUACAUUAUUUUAUUAGUUAUACACUAUUUUAAGUCUUCAUCAACCAAUCGUGUGUUGAUAAAUCGCCUCCUUCUCCUCCCGUUGCCGCUUGGGCUCCUUUUCUCUCCCUUCUGCUUCUCCUUCCUCCCUUCCUUAGGCUGUAAAUUGUAAUUUUUUGUGAUUUAUAACAUUCUUUUAGAGUUUAUUGAAAAAUCGCAAAACAGCAAAUCCACGAAAAGCGAACUGUGAAGUUGUGAGGGAACACUGUACAACUUUUACAAUAAAACUUGUUUUCUCCUCGCUUUCAUUAUAUUCUAUGGACUAUUACCAGGAAGUAGCAAUUUUCUCAAGUUAUGUGACCCAUGAAGUAGGGCCUUUUCCAUGAAAGACCAUUUAAUUUUUUUCUUCCUUUUUCAAUUUUUUUCUUUUCCUGACACGGAAAAAAAAACCAAAAAAAAAACUGGAUGAAUUGAUCCAUUACUAAUUUAAGAUAGCUUGUGAACAUGCAAAUAGUACUAUUCUGUUAUCGUUACCAACAAGAUAAAAUAAUUUUUUAUAUCAUGAUUUCCAGAUGUAUGCGUAGACUGCAAAAGUACUGAAUGAUCUAUUACAUGAUAAGAACUAAGACUCGCAUCAGGCUGCCUGGGCCAUCUGGUUUCUUUCUGCCUGUGUGGGGUAACUUGGAAUGACUACUGAGGAAGUCUGGACAAUGAAGGUUUUUGUAAAAUAUCUUUACUACUAAAUAUUUACAGGAUUUGAAGCAGAGGUUACGCCUCUUCCAGAAUAUUUCUUUUUUGUCAUCACUACUUUCUGUCCAGUUUUCCCGUUCCCACCCCCCCAAUAAUCGGCACUAACUGGAUAUGAACAAAUCUCCUUGCAUAAUUAUAGCAGUUUGACACCACAUUAACUGCCAUGGCUCAAUGCUAUGGAAGCAUGAGAGCUGUAGUUUUACAAGCACUUUAAUUUUCUCUGCCAAAAAGUGUUUGCUGCCUCACCAACUACAAACCCCAGAAUUCCAUAUGAUAGAGCUAUGUUGUCAAACUGCUAUAAUUCUACAGUGUGGAUAUAGUCAGAGAUAAAUUGGUGUCAAAGUGUUACAAUUCUGCACUGUGGGUGGCAUCUUAGCAACUGGUUCAUUAUCUGUUAUACAGUAUAGUUAACUUUUAUUGCAUAUGCUGCUGAACAAUCCUUGCAGUUCCCAGAAUCCUGUGAACCAGGUCUUAUUCCACCUUUGCAGAAAUCUCCUAAAAUGACUUGUGAAGUCUAUUUUUCAUAGCUGACCACCAACCACCAGCAAUAUCUCACAGGACUCACAUUUUUGGGUAAAAAUAAGUGCUUAGUCUGUCCUACGAACAACCCAAUUGUGAACCACAUGGUUUCAUAAAAAAAAUCCAACAUAUCACUGGGUCACAUGUGACAAGGCCACAGAUUAUUUUUUUUAAAGGCUUCCUGCUUUUGAUCUGGAGUUACUAGCUCAGAUCAUUGCUGCUUCUCGAUGCAAUCUCUGCUUCAAAAUGCCCAUAUUUUGUCAAAUCAUGGACAUAAUGGUAAACUCUGAAGUACCAAGACCUUAAAGACACACGACCCCAGAAAGUUCAAAUAUUCAGGCAGCUGUACAGAUCUGUGUCACCAUAUCAGUUCUAGCAGUUUUCAUUUUUUAACUCAAAAUAUUACCCAUUAAAGUUCUUGGUAUAGUGAAUUGGACAUUGCAGUAUAACUCUAGAGACCAGGAUAUGAUUCCCCACGCAGACAUCGAAACCCACUAGAUCAGUGGUUCCCAACCUGUGGUCCGUGAACUACCAGUGGUCCCCAAGAACUAAAAUAUGGCCUGCGGCCUCACCUUUACUACACCAUUGCAUCAGGAGUGACUGAUCUCGCAAAACCCUCUUAUAGUGCCAAUGCAAUGGGGAUGUCGGGAGGAGAGAGGUUGACUACCCUCGAAAGGCGUGACAACAAGCCCCCUGACUGCUGCUUCUCCUCCUCCUCCCUCCCACUGAGCAGAGCCGUUCCCUGUGGCGCCUGGAAGUAGGGGUGUCUUGGUGACUUUGUUUUUAGGCCUAUUCCUGGAGUUAUUUGGGGUGCUGAUUCGGAAAAUUGCAUUGGAUAGACCGCAUCAGCUCUAGAUUAUUAAAUAUGGUUUUCUGUGCACAAAUAGAUGGUGAUUACUGGAUGGCAUAUGUUCUAUAUCAGAAAGUAGAGCUGUUGUGGUCUAUCCAGUGCAAUUUUAUGAAUCAGCACCCCAAAUAACCAAACUGAAUCUAAAGUUGACCUAAAACUGAUUCGUAACCCAUUUGGUACUAAUGUUGGGGAGUGGUCCCUGGUCAAAGUGGUCCCUAGUCAAAUAAAGAUUGGGAAUCACUGAAGUAGAUGAAAUUGGAUAAGUCACAUAGUCUUGGAAAACCUUAUGAUUUGCUUUAGGGCCAGAAAUGACUUGAAGAGACACGACAAAUAUAAUCCCACAAUAGUAUAUUGCUGCUGGGAAACAACUGUUCUGUUUCCCGCUACCUGUGCUUAUUAUAGCUAAGCUUGGAGGGUAAUGGGGAAUCUGACACACAGGCCCCAAGGAUUAAGCAAAAAAUGAGCAUUCAUACCCUGUAAUUCCUUGCUACAUUGAUGUACUGAUCUUUAGUAAUAGCAUAAAUAGAAGAAUCCUGGAAACCAUAGCCUUGACUCAAUUGAUGGGCAAAACAGUGUAGUGAUUAAGAUAUGAAAAGAAUUUAGCUAUCCAAGAAGUAUGAGUCAUUAUUGCUUUCCCUCUUCACCUUCUCUAUAACCACUGCUUCGAAUGAUGGCUGAACGCUCAUUUUCAAAGGCUCUCAGCCAGACUGUGGAAUGAGAACAGAUCCAAAAAACAGACAACUGGAAGUUACUGCAUUCAGUGCCAAAGAAGAAAAAAAAAACCAAGAAUGGAAAUGGAGGUGGAAAAGGGACGCUGGGAUUUAAUUAUUUGUUCUUGCUGUCAUCCUGAUUCAAAGUAGAGUAGAGUCUCACUUAUCCAACAUAAACGGGCCAGCAGAAUGUUGGAUAAGCGAAUAUGUUGGAUAAUAAGGAGGCAUUAAGGUAAAGCCUAUUAAAUAUCAAAUUAGGUUAUGAUUUUACAAAUUAAGCAUCAAAACAUCAUGUUAGACAACAAAUUUGGCAGAAAAAGUAGUUCAAUACGCAGUAAUGCUAUGUAUUAAUUACUGUAUUUAUGAAUUUAGCACCAAAAUAUCACGAUAUAUUGAAAACAUUGACUACAAAAAUGUGUUGGAUAAUCCAGAACGUUGGAUAAGUGAGUGUUGGAUAAGUGAGACUCUACUGUAUCCCAAGAAAAACUCCUACUUGCACAAGUUGGAGUUUUCCUUUGAUUUGAGUGGCAGGCAUGUUUUCUGCAUUCAAUUUGACCUCCAGGCUAAAAUCCUGGACAAGCAAAGAAGUAGGUCUUAUGCUAAGCUUGGUAUGGGACUUUUAGAAACUUCACUUUUCUUAGUAGUUAUGGUGGCCAGGGAAUUCUGGGAGGUAUAUCCCCUAAAGAUAUCUUUUCCAAGAUCUGUGGCAAUCCCAUAAAAAUGGCCAGAAUCUAGUUGGGUUGUUACACCAGAAUAAUUUCUAUAGAAGUCUGGUAUAGCACCGAGACUGCCAUUUAUUCCUUAUUAUAAGGGAUGUUUCAUAUAUGAGGAGUGGAAGUCUUGUCCCUUAUAGGGUUGGCAGAGGUUUCUUAUAAGCAAUGUGCUCUGAGGGCUAGAAAGUUCAUUUUAGAUAUGUAUAUGGACGUUAUGGCUUCCAUAAUUUUGCAGAGAAACACAGGGCUUGCAUUUACUAUUUAGGUAUAACAUAGAUAUGUACGUACUUUAUCACUGUCCGCCAUAUAUGUCCUUAUUUCUAAUGGUCUUUUGUUGUUGUUUUGAAAACCUGUCAACACCGUAUAACAUCUAAGUAGUGCUUGAGGAGGAUGGUAUCCAAUACACCAUUGUGCAAAUAAUUCCCCAUUCACCGCCAUGCAGUGGCAUGGGCACAUAGCUCUGCCCUCUCCCUCUAACUGAGAUGGUGAACAGAAUAUCUCGGCCAACUACAUGUACUCCCUAUAGUCAUGACCUCCCUCUGUUUAAGUACAUUGAUGGAGCUUUACACCUUGAACGAGAUCUUUGUGAAUAUGUUUAUGAAAAUAAACCUAUUAGGAUGCUAAUCUGGGUACAAAUAGGUCUGGGGCACUUCUAAUGGUCAUUCCCCAUGUAAAACAUUGUAUAUGAUUUGAAUUAAGUUUUCGGCACAUGCAGUUGUGCUGUCAGGAUGGACUUCCUCAAUCCCUGGCUGCUACACAGAUGGUUUGGAGAAAUUGCUGGAUGGAGUAAGUCUGAAUGAAGGCUCAGGGUGUUGUGACUCAACCUUUGCCUUUGUGUGACUCUGAUGUCGCUUUGUAUGACUCUGAAGAGGAUUCUGGGUUAUAUGUGCAUAAUGAUGGGAUUCAGGAUGAAUUUGAAGAUGACUCUACUGCUGGGAAUUAUAGGAGCGUUCUGGCUGUGGGAAAUGAAGAGCAGGGAGUUGUUCCCCUGGGAAUAAAUCAUGAUGUUGUUUCUAAUGAGGAAUUUCAGGUGCAGGAAGCAGAAAGGGAGGAUAGCGCUUUGCCUCUGCCUGAUAACAGUAAUGAGCUCAGUGGCCUUGACUCUGAGGAUCUCGAUCGGGCUACAAGACUGAAAUUUAGAGGGUUGCGGUAAAGUCUUCGCAUAGCUAAUAAAUGGGAGGUGAAAGGGCAAAGGAAUGCCUUUAUGUCAUGCUUUUAAAACAGUCUGCUGGGAGAGAGAGAUCUCUGUCAAUGCAACUUCAUCGCUAGAUCAAGAAGCAAGUCUUCUUUCCUGUACCAAGUUUGCUUUCCUCUAUUACCAUGUGGAGAUAUUCUGUUUGCUGGGACUUUUGGCUGCUAUGAAAAGGACCUUGUUUCAUGCUCUAUGUUUCUAUGGACUAAUUGCUCACAGCCUCGUUUUGUAUCUAUCUUCUGGAACUGAACCUUUACCUUUUAUGAACUAUCUUUUGCCUAUUUUCUAAAUAAACUACAAAAGACUACUUCCUGUGUGUGGCUUGAUGUCUUUAGCAAGGUGAAGCUAGCCUAAUGUGCGACACAGGGAGAUUUCUAGAAAAAAGAGGUAGUGGCAACCUUAUGUGUACAACUUCUGUUUAAUCAUUCAUCUGACGACAGCUUCUUAGUCAAAGCAUCAAAAUGUGAAUAUACAUGUACAUAUCUCCCCAGUCUGUUCUCCAUGGAAACACGACAUAAAAAAAUAUUUCUAGCAAAAACAAUGAAACCAGGAGGGACUGUAGGAGGAUCUUAGUUACUUACACAAGAAUGUAAAGAUGGAAUACAAAAUGAACCCAGUGGAAUCAUUGUGACACAAAUGAGUGUCAUUAAGGAGAAUGAAGUGCAGUGAUUGAGGUGCAGUUCAAUAUAUAAAAAUGCUUGUGCUUUCCACAACUAUCUUGUAUAGGGGAGUGUGUGUGUUUUGUAUUUUUUGUAGUUGAAAAAUUGCUUUUUUGUUUGGUUUUUGUCUAUUUCUAGUCCUGGUUUAAUCUGAAAAGCUGCAAAUCUUUUGGGUCCAGUGCACCUGUAGGCUCACUUUCUCCCACAUUUGCAAUUCUUUAGGGUUUUUUGUGUGUCAGGAGCGACUUGAGAAACUGCAAGUUGCCCGGAUGUUUGAUGUUUUACCAUCCUCGUGGGAGGCUUCUCUCAUGUCCCCACAUGGGGAGCUAGAGCUGACAGAUGGGAGCUCACUCCGCUCCUCAGAUUUGAACUGCUAACCUUUCAGUCAGCAGUCUUGCAGGCACAAGGUAUUCACCCAUUGCACCAUUGGGGGCUCCAAUUCUGGAAUGUUUUCUUGUUAUCUUAGCUUCUCACCCUAUUGUAGUUUGUGUUUAGUCCUGAGGAGUAUUAUAUCUCUUCAACAGCAUAUAAUUGCUACAAAUGAAUUAAAAUGAUUAAUAAUCUCCUAAAUGGUGUGCCUGCACUGAAAAAUGUGUGUAGCUUGACACCACUUUAACUGUUGUUUAACUCAAUGCUAUGGUGGAGUCCUGGAAUUUAUAGUUUGGUGAGACGCAAGCACUCUUUGGCAGACUUUGUAAAGCUACCAUUCCCAUGAUUCCAUAGCAUAGAGCCAUGGUAGUCAAAGCUGUAUCAAACUGCAUUAAUUAUACUGUGUAGAUACAGCCUUAGUCAAGUAAUUUUUUUUCCUAUCUGCUCUCGCCAUUCAGGGUAAAGGAUUUCUCAUUAGCAGCUUCCACGCAGUUGGGGAAAUGUGUAGAUCAACAGUUGCUAGGAUUUUUGUUGUGUGUUAAAGGUAUGGAAAAUUAAUGCAGAGGUCAGGAAAACUUAGUAUAGUGAUGAACUAAGAUAAUUUUUGCUGAUUUCAUUGCAUGACACGUACAUUAUGUCUGUCCUGGAUUUUGUAAGAAUUGUGGUGUACUUGGUUUAUCAUCACUUGUGAGUCACAGCAGAGCAGGAAAAUGAACUUUCUGUGAAUAAAGAACAGAUUGGUAUGAAAAACUGUAAACUAUUAUUAAAAUGCUAAAUAACUUUAGCACAUGGGUGUAUUUGUUUAUUUGGAUCUAUUGGUUGGCUAAUCAUUGAUUGGCCAUCAACCCCUACCCUAUUGUGGAUAACACAAAGAAUACAUAUAUGACAUAUAAGAUAUUAUUUUCUGCACUUUUGAAUAUAAUUCUAUGGUGGAAGAAAAAAUGAUUGUAUACCAACAAAAUGGGAGGGAGAAAUUUCAUUCUCACAUAAUAGUUAUUCAUAUUGUAAUAAUUUGAAGCGGCACCAUGAGUGCUUCCACAUAGGGACAUUUAAUGAGAAUUGCCUUUUCUCUUGCAGUGCAGCUAGAAUUCUGUUCAUGGAAAACAGCUAGAAAAAUUACAUGAAAGAAUAUAAGCACGGUUCCACCUUUUCCAAGUCAAUGUACUUUCAAGACUGUUAAUAAGCGUCAAAUGUUUCAAGAGACUGACAAGAGCGCCACAUACAGAAAUUAUAGCCAGCUCUAGAUUCUUUUUUUCCCCUUGGCAUGUGUACAAAAUCUAGGUGGAAUUUUCAUUCGGAUGUCAACCAGUACCAGUUCCUACAGUUGGCCAAAAUUGUUCUCAUGCUGCAUUGCAGUGGAGGCUGGAAAGAAGGGAAUGAGCUUUGUGUGUGUCAGCAGCAACUUGAGUCGCUUCUGGUGUGAGAGAAUUGGCCGUCUGCAAGGAUAUUGCCCAGGGGACGCCAGGAUGUUUUGUUGUUUUUACCAUCCUUGUGGGAGGCUUCUCUCAUGUCCCCGCAUGGAGCUGGAGCUGAUAGAGGGAGCUCAUCCACGCUCUCCCCGGAUUGGAUUUUAAUCUGGCAGCCUUCAGGUCAGCAACCCAACCUUCAAGUCAUGAGGCUUUAACCCACUAUGCCAUUGGGGGCUCCAGGGAAUGAGCUGGCAAGGUCUUAUAUUAUACUCAAUUUCAAAUUCCCAAAUGAAGACUUCUCCAGUGUUUUUACUGAAAACUCUAAACUGAAGGAGGCUCUAAAAACUAAAGCACUCUUCACUCCAAACAGUAAAAAAAAAUCCAGAUGUAGCACCAUAGGCUUUAGAAUUUUAUGAAUGAGAAAAAGCACUGAGAAUGCACAGUAUUUUUUAAUAUAUGCAAAUGUUCAGAGCCCUUCAGAAUCUAAUAAAAGCAGAUGGCACAACCAUUUAUGUUGUAGUAUAUUCUAACUGCAUAUCCGGGAUGCCUUAGCUCUGGCCAUCUCCAGUUAGACAUUCAUAACUCUCUCUCCUUCUCCCUUAGUGCUCAAAUUUAAAUAGAUUAAAUUGUUCACCAGCUGAAGGUUGUUGCAUUCUAAAGGCAUGACUCUGAAUCAUCAAGAAUCAUUAAAGGUAACAUAGUCGAUCUUUGAUGCAUGGCAAUAUCUUCUACCUUCUGUAAGUUCUUGUUUAUUCAAUAUUUGGUUAGUCAUGGCUUACCUCAGCAUAACUAGUGGGAUAUCCACAUGGCACUAUUUUAGCAGUUUGAUACCACUUUCAUUGGAAUGGGUCCAUUCUAUGUGGUUCUGGGACUUGUAGUUUGGUGAGCCAUCCAAAAGACCUUGAAAAGAAAAGGACUGGGAAUCAGUUUAAUUAUUAAUUGCCAAACCACAAGCUUAAUGGUUCCAGAGGAUGGACCCAUGGGCAGCGUGGGCAGCCAAAAUAAAUACACCACGCAGUGGUUCUCAACCUGUGGGUCCCCAGAUGUCUUGGCCUUCACCUUCCAGAAAUUCUAACAGCUGGUAAACUGGCUGGGAUUUCUGGGAGUUGUAGGCCAAAACACCUGGGGACCCACAGGUUGAGAACCACUGCCUUAGUGCAUACCAUUUUAGAGACAUGUUGGUUAGUAACAGGGAAAUUUAAGGAGAAAGUAUUUUCAGAUAUUGAAGAUUAAUAUAUACACUUCAGGUUUCUUGUCCUUUCCUAUUCAGUUGCUCUUUAUGCAUGAGUGCCUUAUGCAAACAUGCACAUUAGCAACUUGAGAAAGAUCAUUUAAGGGCAAAAGAAAGCUUGAGUGUCUCAUGCCUUUAUUCUGUUUGUUCUACAUAAAGUCUGAAGAGUAGUUUAUGUAUCUCCAUGGGGAGUGGCACAAGUUCCUAGUCCAGAGGAAACUCAUCUGAAGAUGAAAAAACCUUGUAAUACUGUCGAGGAUCAUAAAGUGAAGACCGCUAAGGCAACAUCUUUUCCUGAUCCUUGUCUCCAAGAUGAUCAUGAACUCCCCAAAUUUAAUAAGGAUGUUGUGGUUAAGACAAAAGUGAAUGUGUAUGUUGAUGGCAUGUGGAUGAAUGACAAUAUACUUUGGGGGGGGGGGGCGGAAUUUUAUAACUCACAUUGAUGUGUUGUAUCUUAGGGGUUUUUUGUAUAAAGGGUUGACCUUUUUUGUAUGCAAAACCACAGUUUACAUUAAUUGUCAAAUUACUAAUAAUUGUACUUUAAAUAUAUACACCUAGCCUUUACCAAAUCAUAUACAGUAGAGUUUCACUUAUCCAAGCCUUUCUUAUCCAAGGUUCUGGAUUAUCCAAGCCAUUUUUGUAGUCAAUGUUUUCAAUAUAUCAUGAUAUUUUGAUGCUAAAUUCGUAAAUACAGUAAUUACAACAUAACGUUCCUGCGUAUUGAACUACUUUUUUCUGUCAAAUUUGUUGUAUAACAUGAUGUUUUGGUGCUUAAUUUGUAAAAUCAUAACCUAAUUUGAUGUUUAAUAGGCUUUUCCUUAAUCCCACCUUAUUAUCCAGGAUAUUCGCUUAUCCAAGCUUCUGCCGGCCCGUUUAGCUUGGAUAAGUGAGACUCUACUGUAUUUCAGUUACAACAACACUUGAAGCUGUUGAAUUAUUGUACUCUUUUCCUCUUAUUAGGACAGAAAGAACCUAGCACUAAGUCAGCAUUUAGCUUGAGAACAUUUACUUGUAGAUUAUGUACAGAAACUAAGGGAAUGGGUCCAGUAAAUUAAAAGAUAACAACAACAACAACAACAACAACAACUUUAUUCUGAUAUCCCACCACCAUCUCCCUGAAGGGACUUGGGGCAGCUUACAAACUGCACAAGAUGCCUAAAAAGAACAUAAAAGUGAACACAGUAUAAAAUACAAUAAAAUAAAACACAUGCAACAUAGAAAACAUCAAUUCAGACUCAACCUGCAUUCCUCUAAGCAUGGCGGUAAAUUACUGGCACCAUGGUCAGGUUGAUGCAAUUUAGUAGACAUUCACUCUUUCACUUUGCGUAUGUUUCUUAUGGCAGUAUCUCAUCUUUGGGGUGAAACAUCUUCUCUUUUGGUCUGAACUUUAAAUGAACUAUCCGAGGUGCUGAACCUAUUUAAUGAGAAGACUCCAAUACUUUAGAUAACUCCUUUAGUAUUCCAACUCAGAUUCUGAACAGGUUGCCCUUCUGCUGCGUUCUACUCACGGGAUUCUCUACUGAAUUAAAUUAUUAUAGAUGGAAGGAAGCCUUCCAUGUAUGAAUGGCAGAAUUUGCAUUCAACCUAAUGUCCAGUUGACACAGCUCUGAGCUGUUAGAAAGAUAGAAAGGGACACCUUUUUGCAAGUACAUUGACUUACAGACAAGUCAUGUCACUUCCUUUUCAAAAAGUCUAUGAAAGGAAUAACAGUUCAGCAGGAUUUCUACAUUUUACAUCAUGGAAGAUCUAUAAGAGAAAAGAUUGUACUUUUUUUCGGUGUUAAUCAAUUCCGACAGUAAAAUCCAGAAUGUAUUAUUUGUUUCUUUGUUUAUGUAUUUAUUUAAUUUAUAUCCCACCUUUCUCCUCACAGGGGGCCCAAGGCUACUGACAAUAAGUUCAAGAAGCUAAAAUCUUCUUGUUUAAAAGUUUUUAAAAUAGUAAAACAAACAAGUCUAUUAGAAUUAUGUCUACCGCAGCAGCAAGACGAAUCAGUGACACAUACAUGUGGAUUCAUGCUUUGUUAGCUUUUUAUUUGAGAAUAUUGCCAUAAAAAAACCUUGCCAACUGU